UACAGAGGGGGCAAGCGUUGUUCGGAAUUACUGGGCGUAAAGGGCGCGUAGGCGGCCUUCUAAGUCGAACGUGAAAUCCCUGGGCUCAACCCAGGAACUGCGUCCGAUACUGGAAGGCUUGAAUCCGGGAGAGGGAUGCGGAAUUCCAGGUGUAGCGGUGAAAUGCGUAGAUAUCUGGAGGAACACCGGUGGCGAAGGCGACAUCCUGGACCGGUAUUGACGCUGAGGCGCGAAAGCCAGGGGAGCAAACGGG
rnacentral:rRNA from 1 species